AAUCUGCAGUAACGAAUCUGCAGCUCGCUGGGUUCGCGUCCUCUGGUGUGCGGCAGAGGGAGUGGAGGAUCCGCGAGCUGUUGGGGCUAAAACAAGUUGCAUCUCUUCUCUCGGGCCUGAGAACAUUAAUUAAGUGCCUGGUUGCAGCAGGGAUGAAAGCUGAGCCUACGGACGCUGAUGGUCAAGAAGCGUAAUUGUGGUGAAGACACCAAGAAGUGUAAUUGUGGCGAAGAUACCUGCCCAGAGACAUGUCCCAAGGGCGACGGUACUCUUCCAUUCUCCCAACAAAAUGUAAUUGCUGGAUCCUGGGGCUAUGGAGCUGAAUAAGGAAGACACAGUUCUGAAUCCCAUGGAUGCCCAGUUGUGAGACUGUGAUUUAUAACAAAUGUAUAUUUCGUCUUCACCCUCAUUUCUGACACUGAGCUCCUAAACCCUUGGAAUUUCCUGUGAUGAGAGUGAUAAAGGUGUGUUGUGUUACAUUAAUGAGGUGACUUUUGGACCACACCUAAGGAGGGGGCUGGUUGCCAGGAGAAAUGAUUAGCAGUUGGAACUUUCAGUCCAACCCUCCUGACUCUGGGGAGGGGAGCGGGCUGGAGAUUGAGCUCAGUCACCCAUGGCCAAUGAUUUAAUCAGUCACACCUGUGUGAUGAAGCCUCCGUAAAAGCCCCAAAGUACUGGGUUCAGGGAGCUUCCUGGUUGGGGAGCACGUAGAGGUGCGGGGAGAGCAGUGUGCCCAGAGAGCACGGAAGCUCUGUGCCCUUUCCCCAUACCUUGCCCUAUGUAUCUCUUCCAUCUGGCUGUUCCUGAGUUAUAGCCUUUCACCCUAAACUGGUACUCUAGUAAGUAAAAUGUUUCUCUGAGUUCUGUGGGCCACUCUAGUAAAUUAAUCAAACCUAAGGAGGGGGUUGUUUGAAACUCUGAUCUAUAGCCAUUCAGUCAGAAAACUCGGGCUUGUGACUGGCAUCUGAAGUGGGGGUGGGGUUAGGGGAUGGGAAUGUGGUGGGCAGUCUUUUGGGACUGAGCCCUUAACCUGUGGAAUCUGAUGCUAUCUUUGGGUAAAUAGUGUCAGAGUUGAGUUAAAUCAUAGGACACCCAGCUGGUGUUGGAGAAUUGCAUGGUGUGGGAAAGAACCCUCCUAUACAUUGGAACUGGAGUCAGAAUCUUACUAGCCUAAAAAAAAAAGGCCAGUCUUGAGCAGACCUGUGAAGGGUGAUUUUAGGUCCACAGCUUGCCUGUUUCACAUCCUCCUUUUCCAGUUAUCUUGUUCUCUUGGUCCCGCCCAUGUGAAAACCUGUCCUCAGGUUUGGAUCUGACCUCAGUCAUGUGUAACUUAGUUUGCGCUAUUCUGAGUAUGUCAUGUUUGCGGAUCAGACUGCAUGCACCUGAGGAAAGGGACCAUGUCUGCAUUUCUCUGUAUGCACCCACUUCUCCGAGUGCAGAUUCCUGCAGUAACAUCCCACCUGAUUUUAAGUGGCAUAGUGUUGAGCACUGGCUUUGGCCCCCAGACGAGGGUUUGAGUCUGCCACUUGCUAGCUCCGUAGCCUUGGGCAAGUCAUGGCACUUCUUUGCGCUUCAGUGUUCUCAUCUGUAAAAUGGGCUUGAUGACUUUUGACCUCAUACAGUUGUGAAGACUAUAUAAGACAAGGCAUGAAAAGCGCUUAGGUCACUACCCUACCCAGGAUAGAGAGAGCACUCAAAGAAUGGUUCUUGUUGAUGAUUGUUAUUAAGUUUCACGUCCCGCUAGGGAAUGACAGGUUUUAUCCAGGGCAAUAUGAUCGAAUGAAUGUCAGACUCUAGCGAGCUAUUGGGAAGCUUUUUGACAGAGUCUGUUUUCCCUGAGCUAUGGUUCCCGCUCUGAUGACCCCUUUUCCAAGCAACCUGGAACUCACCUCCUCCAAUAUGUCCAGAAGCAGCCCUCACUGAGCCCUUCUUAUGCUUUCCUAUGAUCUCCCCAAUGCCGGUGCUGAAGCUGCCUUGAGCGAGUCCUAAAUCUUCUCUUCAGGGAGAUUAAUACCUUGCAAAAGCCUCAAGCCUAUUUUAAUUGAAUUAUUUCAUUCAGUGUCAGGCUUAAAGAGCACCCUACAGACUCUCGGCUCUGAAUGAAUGCAUUAAAAAAAUCAAAUAGUGUAGAUCGUGGCAUAAUCCUUGAGGGAGAUAUAAAUAGAAUUUCCUCUGCUGCCCUUUCGUUUCCAUACGUUAGUUAAUAAACACACUUUUAUAGCAUCUGCUUUUCCUUUUCCUCCCCUAAUGCUCUUUAGUUGUCUUAAUAAGAAAGAGAAUAAAUCUCAGAAUAUAACAAGAUGUUAGGGAAGAAUUUACCAUCUUAAUUUUCAGGGCUGGAAAGGAUUUUUCGACAUUACCUGGUCUAACCCUCUGCAUGGUUUACCUGGUGUGGGGCAGAGGUCUAGAGAAGGCAAUGGCUUGGCCAGGGUCACAGAACUUCACUUCUAAUGAGCUCAGCUUGAAAAAGACAUGUUCUUAGUCCUGGACAAGUAUUGGGAGUCGCAGGGAACAUGGCAUGAAUAAGGUCAAGUGAGUAGACCAGGGCGUGGUUAAGGGUGGUGCUCUGGGCUCAGAUUAUAAGGGGUUGAAUCUUGGUCCACCUCAUGCCGUCUGCCUUUGGGCAAGUUAUUUAUCUUUGCUGGGCUUCAGUUUUUUUUUUUACCACAAAAUAUGGAUAAUAAUAGUAUCUACCUUGGACUGCUGUUGAGUCAAACUACAGUUCACUAAAAAACUCAGUACUGCACCUGGCACAUAGUAAGUGUUCAAUAAACUUUAGUCAUUA